GCGAUCAUACCAGCACUAAUGCACCAAAUCCCAUCUGAAUUUCGCAAUUAAGCGUGCUUAGGCAAGUGUAGUACUAGGAUGGGUGGAUCCCCUGGGAAGUCCGCGUGUUGCACCCC